GGCCCCGCACAAGCGGCGGAGCAUGUUGCUUAAUUCGAUGCGACGCGAAGAACCUUACCUGGGCUUGACAUGCAGGGUGAAACCCGUGAAAGCGGGCGCUCUUCGGAGCCUGCACAGGUGGUGCAUGGCUGUCGUCAGCUCGUGCCGUGAGGUGUUGCCUUAAGUGGCGCAACGAGCGCAACCCCUGUCCUUAGUUGCCAGCGGAUCAUGCCGGGAACUCUAGGGAGACUGCCGGUGCCAAACCGGAGGAAGGUGGGGAUGACGUCAAGUCAUCAUGCCCCUUACGUCCAGGGCUGCAAACAUGCUACAAUGCCCGGUACAAAGGGCUGCGAUCCCGCAAGGGGGAGCGAAUCCCAGAAAGCCGGGCUCAGUUCGGAUCGGGGUCUGCAACCCGACCCCGUGAAGUUGGAGUCGCUAGUAAUCGCAGAUCAGCAUUGCUGCGGUGAAUACGUUCCCGGGGCUU
rnacentral:rRNA from 1 species